rnacentral:rRNA from 1 species
CGGUAAUUCCAGCUCCAAUAGCGUAUACUAAAGUUGUUGCAGUUAAAAAGCUCGUAGUUGGAUUUCUGCGGGGACGGAGCGGCCGGACGCAACUUGCGUCUCGAGCUAGCGCUUUCCCCACAUCCUGCCGCGAACCGUGCUACCAUUAGUUUGGUGGCGCUGGGGAUCGGCUCGAUUACUUUGAGAAAAAUAGAGUGUUCAAAGCAGGCCACACGCCUUGAAUAAGUUAGCAUGGAAUAAUGACUAAGGACUUUGGUUCUUUUCGUUGGUGUUCGGGACUGAAGUAAUGAUUGAUAGGGACAGUUGGGGCGGUCCGUAUUCCAAAGCGAGAGGUGAAAUUCUUAGACCUUCGGAAGACGAACAGCUGCGAAAGCGUUCCGCAAGGAUGUUCCCUUUGAUCAAGAACGAAAGUUGGGGGAUCGAAGACGAUCAGAUACCGUCGUAGUCUCAACUAUAAACUAUACCAGCUAGGGAUCGGCCAACGUUUAAUUAUUCGACUUGGUCGGCACCUUAUGAGAAAUCAAAGCAUCUGGGUUCCGGGGGGAGUAUGGUCGCAAGGCUGAAACUUAAAGGAAUUGACGGAAGGGCACCACCAGGCGUGGAGCCUGUGGCUUAAUUUGACUCAACACGGGAAAACUUACCAGGUCCAGACAUAGGAAGGAUUGACAGAUUGAUAGCUCUUUCUUGAUUCUGUGGGUGGUGGUGCAUGGCCGUUUUUAGUCGGUGAAGUGAUUUGUCUGCUUAAUUGCGUUAACGGACGAGACCCCAGCCUGCUAAAUAGCGCGGUCGAGCUUUGCUCGGCACGAGCUUCUUAGAGGGACCAUGAUGCGCGAUAGCACAAGGAAGUUUGGGGCAACAACAGGUCUGUGAUGCCCUUAGAUGUUCUGGGCCGCACACGGGCUACACUGGCGCCUGCAACGAGCAUAUCAGCUGGCCCGAGAGGGUCUUGGCUAAUCUUUGGAACCGGCGCCGUGCUUGGGAUUGACCAUUGCAAUUGUUGGUCAUGCAACGAGGAAUGCCUUGUAAACGCGAGUCAUCAGCUCGCAUUGAAUACGUCCCUGCCCCUUGUACACACCGCCC